rnacentral:rRNA from 1 species
GACGAACGCUGGCGGCGUGCUUAACACAUGCAAGUCGAACGGAAAGGCCCUGCUUUUGUGGGGUGCUCGAGUGGCGAACGGGUGAGUAACACGUGAGUAACCUGCCCUUGACUUUGGGAUAACUUCAGGAAACUGGGGCUAAUACCGGAUAGGAGCUCCUGCUGCAUGGUGGGGGUUGGAAAGUUUCGGCGGUUGGGGAUGGACUCGCGGCUUAUCAGCUUGUUGGUGGGGUAGUGGCUUACCAAGGCUUUGACGGGUAGCCGGCCUGAGAGGGUGACCGGCCACGUUGGGACUGAGAUACGGCCCAGCCUCCUACGGGAGGCAGCAGUGGGGAAUAUUGCACAAUGGGCGGAAGCCUGAUGCAGCAACGCCGCGUGCGGGAUGACGGCCUUCGGGUUGUAAACCGCUUUCGCCUGUGACGAAGCGUGAGUGACGGUAAUGGGUAAAGAAGCACCGGCUAACUACGUG